rnacentral:tRNA from 1 species
ACACAAGCUGGCAGACAUAAUGCAUACGAUUUAAGCUCGUCUUAUAAGAUCAUAUUCUUGUUUGUGUG